AUUUAUAUAGUUUAACAAACAUUACAUUUUCAUUGUAAAAUUAAUAUAUUUUUAUUUAUAAAUU
rnacentral:tRNA from 1 species